AGUGAACGCUGGCGGUAGGCCUAACACAUGCAAGUCGAACGGCAGCACAGGAGAGCUUGCUCUCUGGGUGGCGAGUGGCGGACGGGUGAGGAAUACAUCGGAAUCUACUCUGUCGUGGGGGAUAACGUAGGGAAACUUACGCUAAUACCGCAUACGACCUACGGGUGAAAGCAGGGGAUCUUCGGACCUUGCGCGAUUGAAUGAGCCGAUGUCGGAUUAGCUAGUUGGCGGGGUAAAGGCCCACCAAGGCGACGAUCCGUAGCUGGUCUGAGAGGAUGAUCAGCCACACUGGAACUGAGACACGGUCCAGACUCCUACGGGAGGCAGCAGUGGGGAAUAUUGGACAAUGGGCGCAAGCCUGAUCCAGCCAUACCGCGUGCGUGAAGAAGGCCUUCGGGUCGUAAAGCCCUUUUGUUGGGAAAGAAAUCCAGCUGGCUAAUACCCGGUUGGGAUGACGGUACCCAAAGAAUAAGCACCGGCUAACCUCGUGCCAGCCGCCGCCGUAA
rnacentral:rRNA from 1 species